GCGCUCUUAGUUCGGUAGAACGUGGGUCUCCAAAACCCGAUGUCGUAGGUUCAAAUCCUACAGAGCGUG
rnacentral:tRNA from 2 species